AUUGAACGCUGGCGGCAGGCCUAACACAUGCAAGUCGAGCGGAUGAAGGGAGCUUGCUCCUGGAUUCAGCGGCGGACGGGUGAGUAAUGCCUAGGAAUCUGCCUGGUAGUGGGGGAUAACGUCCGGAAACGGGUGCUAAUACCGCAUACGUCCUGAGGGAGAAAGUGGGGGAUCUUCGGACCUCACGCUAUCAGAUGAGCCUAGGUCGGAUUAGCUAGUUGGUGGGGUAAAGGCCUACCAAGGCGACGAUCCGUAACUGGUCUGAGAGGAUGAUCAGUCACACUGGAACUGAGACACGGUCCAGACUCCUACGGGAGGCAGCAGUGGGGAAUAUUGGACAAUGGGCGAAAGCCUGAUCCAGCCAUGCCGCGUGUGUGAAGAAGGUCUUCGGAUUGUAAAGCACUUUAAGUUGGGAGGAAGGGCAGUAAGUUAAUACCUUGCUGUUUUGACGUUACCAACAGAACAAGCACCGGCUAACUUCGUG
rnacentral:rRNA from 1 species